GGGAAAGCCCGGCGCUUGCAACGUGAAACAUAUGGCUCAUAUUUGCCAACAUAAAUAAACCGUAAAAAGAAAAUAAAAAACAAAAACAUGGCAAUCAACGAUAAACGGUAGAUAGACAACAGGAAAUAGAAACCCUAUGCAGUCACAUCAACUA